ACUCCUACGGGAGGCAGCAGUAGGGAAUCUUCCACAAUGGGCGCAAGCCUGAUGGAGCAACACCGCGUGAGUGAAGAAGGGUUUCGGCUCGUAAAGCUCUGUUGUUAAAGAAGAACACGUAUGAGAGUAACUGUUCAUACGUUGACGGUAUUUAACCAGAAAGUCACGGCUAACUACGUGCCAGCAGCCGCGGUAAUACGUAGGUGGCAAGCGUUAUCCGGAUUUAUUGGGGCGUAAAGAGAGUGCAGGCGGUUUUCUAAGUCUGAUGUGAAAGCCUUCGGCUUAACCGGAGAAGUGCAUCGGAAACUGGAUAACUUGAGUGCAAAAGAGGGUAGUGGAACUCCAUGUGUAGCGGUGGAAUGCGUAGAUAUAUGGAAGAACACCAGUGGCGAAGGCGGCUACCUGGUCUGCAACUGACGCUGAGACUCGAAAGCAUGGGUAGCGAACAGGAUUAGAUACCCUGGUAGGAUAGCG
rnacentral:rRNA from 1 species